CCUACGGGAGGCAGCAGUGAGGAAUAUUGGUCAAUGGACGAGAGUCUGAACCAGCCAAGUAGCGUGAAGGAUGACUGCCCUAUGGGUUGUAAACUUCUUUUAUAUGGGAAUAAACUGUUCCACGUGUGGGAUUUUGUAUGUACCAUAUGAAUAAGGAUCGGCUAACUCCGUGCCAGCAGCCGCGGUAAUACGGAGGAUCCGAGCGUUAUCCGGAUUUAUUGGGUUUAAAGGGAGCGUAGGUGGAUUGUUAAGUCAGUUGUGAAAGUUUGCGGCUCAACCGUAAAAUUGCAGUUGAAACUGGCAGUCUUGAGUACAGGAGAGGUGGGCGGAAUUCGUGGUGUAGCGGUGAAAGGCUUAGAUAUCACGAAGAACUCCGAUUGCGAAGGCAGCUCACUGGACUGCAACUGACACUGAGGCUCGAAAGUGUGGGUAUCAAACAGGAUUAGAUACCCGAGUAGUC
rnacentral:rRNA from 1 species